UCUUAUUAUAUAUAUUAAAUAUAUAAAUCAAAGUCAUGAUACAAAAGAAGAUUCUAUCAAAAUAGAUUGGCUUUUAGGGCUUACUCCAACAUCUUCUCCAAAAGUUGUCAUAUGAAUUUUAUGCCAAGCUACAUAUGUUGAGAAGGGUUUAUAGAGAUUUUGUACAAUAAUAUUGUUCUACUUGAGCACUUGAAAAGUUUGUCAAGUUUGGAUUGGAAUUUGGCUGCUGGUUCUACCUGCACUUUNNNNNNNNNNNNNNNNNNNNNNNNNNNAUCCAAUUUGGAGUCUAAAGGUUCAAGUCUAGUAGCAGCUUGGUUGCUUGUCCUCAGUUUUAUGCAUUUGGCUUAUGCUUGCUGAUAGUUUGAAAUUUGAAGAUUGGAGACAUUUUUUUAUUUGGCUUAUGCUUAGCUUAUCUCCUCUUUCACAGUCUCAUAUUAGUGGUUUGUUGUCCUGUUUGGUACCUCACUGCUUCUGUUUUGCCUCCUACAAGUGUUGGAGUUUAGUCUUAUUUGAAUACCCUCUGUGGUUGCCGCUAGUUUUGUAACAACAGAAAAACAAGAUACAGAAGUCAUUAUCAUAGAAAAGUCAUUAAACCAAUACAUCAUGAUGGUUGUAAACGCUUUGUGACAUUAAGGACUAGCCGAUUAGCCUCAUACCUAA
rnacentral:lncRNA from 1 species